rnacentral:rRNA from 1 species
UCGCAUGUUUUUCAAAAACAUUGCUUUUUGAUUAAUCAUAGAAAGUAUAUCUGCCCUGUGAGCAAUCUUUGACGGCCGUGGUAUCCUGACCGUGCUAAGGUAGCACAAUAAUGCGCCUCUUAAUUAGAGGAUAGAAUGAAUGAAUUUACAAAUUACAAUUGUUAUCCUAAAGACAAUGAUAAAAAUUAACCUGUAAGUGAAAAGGCUUACAUAUAUUUAAAGGACAAAAAGACCCUAAAAGCUUUCCGAUAGUAUUUAAUUAUUGUGGCUACCUCGGUUUACUUGGGGCGAGGGUAAGAUAUAAACUCUUAAUCUAUUAAAGAGCUACACCUCUAUCUUGAGCCAGCCACAGAGCACGUGAGCAAGUUACUUUAGGGAUAACAGGUCUAUCUGAUAUGAGUAGUUCUUAUACUAUAUCAGGAUUGACACCUCGAUGUUGGCUUUGGUUUCCUUUCCACAGCAGUUUGUGAAAAAGGUGGUUUGUUCAACCUGUAAAUACCUACAUGAUCUGAGUUCCCACCGGAGA